CCCACCCCAUUUACACCAAGCUACCUUGUCAAUUUCCUCAGAGAAACUCGAAUGGAUUUUUCUAACCUGCUCCAACUCCCAUUGAUCAGUUAAUUAAGCCGAUCUCUAGGAGGUUGUUGAGGAACCAGCUCCUUUCUCCUUUUAUGUUUCACGGUCCCAAACAAACUCUUCAGAGGCACACAGCUCAGGGAGAAGGACACUCCUUGCUGAAAUCUUUCCCUGCACACAAAUGCAUCUAUUUUCAGUGUGUCUAGGGAUUUCACUUGUGGAGCAUCCUUACUGUGAACGCAUUUCGGAGCCUCUUGCUUCCAGGCCAGGAUCAAGUGGCUGUCUUUGCUGUUUACUUACUGUUUCUUAUUUUUAAAAAUGCAGUGGUUGGGUUUGCCCAGAAUUGCUGUCUCUUGCUGUCUUCAUUUGCUUUGAGGAUUCAGGUGGAACUGCAGAGAAUGUGUCAACAGCCGAAAGGCAGUGUGUGUGGCUCACUGCUUCAGUGUCGCAUUGAGAAGUCACUCUGUGGAUCUACAUGCAGGAAUCAGGGCAGAACAGCAUUUGGAGGAAUAAAGGGCAUUGGCAAGUAACGAUAGAGCCAGGGAGUCUUCAAGGGGCAUCAUGGGUGAGCUCACAGUUGGGUGGAAAGUGCAGCAGUAAAUGAAUUAUGUACCCAGGCAACUUGCAAAUGAGAUUCUGCAGUCCAUUACUGGUUGAAAUUGAAAGAAUCUCAGAGAAUGGAAGAUGAGCUGAGAAAGAAACGCUGGUGAGCACAUUUGCUUCUUUUCAGAAAUGGAGAGGCGGUUGAGCUCCUGGAAUUUGCUCUUAGAAUCACAGACAGGGAAGCUGGUGGGUCCCCCUGGGGUAGGAACUGGUCAUGGAAGGGGUAACUGGGUGAGCUCCCCAGACUACAUGGCAGGCUGCAGGACAAGUCAUCAUGGGUGGGUCCCGGUCUCUUCCUUUUUCCCUUUCAUGUUCUUGGGCCUAGGGUCCCCCGAGGUCAACUGAACUGUGCAUCUGGAUUUCAUGAAGUCUCUCAUGCUGCUGUUUUUGCAAGAAUGAUUAAAACGGGUCUGCGAGAAUAACUACACUGAAUGAGAAAUGAUAAUGGGAGAUCUCCAGCAGGAAGGACAUUUCUGAUGGUUUCUUGCUCUCUCUUUCUUGUCUAGUCUAAAUAUUUUUUUAUUAUUGUUGUUUUUCCAUUCUAAUAUUUACUACACGCCCACUGUGCAUCAGGACAUCUGUUUAAACAACUUUCUCACAUGCACAGUUAGAUGAAGCCAGAGGUUGACCUGUUAGCUUCCGAAUACCUGUGUCCCGAGCUGCUGCUGUUUACUUUCCUUGAUGGGCUGCGGACAGAGGGCAGACGGGAAGACACACGCUGAGAAAUACAUUUAAGAUUCAGCCAUGGUGGGAGAAAGUCAUGAGCAGAGCAUGCUGGGAACUGCAAUUUCCUGGAGGCCUUCUUUUCACAGGAGCAGAGCCUGUGUUCUCAGUGAAAGCAUCCAGAACCCACCACCAUCCCCAAAACAGAAGCAGCACCCUGCAUUCAGUUGGGAAGGGGGAACUUCUGAGACUACUUGAGUGCUCUUGCUCUUCCCACAUUGGAAAGACCCAUCCCACACUGGGAAGAUCCAUUCCCAGGAUAAUGCCUUUCAAACUUGACUGUUGCCUACAAUAAGAAUUGCACUUUGCUUCUCAGUUCAGACUGCACACAAACACCCACAGGGCUACUGAAGCAAGCAUUCCAGAUAAAUCAUUUGUCUUUAUUGGGUUUAAGUGACUUUGAUCUGGUCCAUUCUGUUUUAUUCUAGUCUAUUCUGUCCAGUUUUAUUCUCUAUCAAAGCUACUUAAAAAUGCUUAUCCAGAUCAUUCAUGAAAUGGAUUUCCUGCCUCCCCCCCUUUUUGAGUUAGGGUUUCUCUGUGUAGCCCUGGCUGUCCUAGAACUCACUUUGUAGACCAGGCUGUCUUAGAACUCAGAGAGAUCCACAUAUCUCUGCCUCCCGAGUGCUGGGAUUAAAGGUGUGUGCCACCUCCAUGCCCAGCUCAUUUCCUGGCUUAUUAAUGGGUUGUAACUCAUAGUUUAAAACUCACUGGAGCUGGGACAGGCAGGUGGGAGCUGUGUCACGUGGGAACCUGUGACCAUUGCUCCAAGUCAGUGGUUCUCAACCUUUCUAAUGUUGCAACCCUUUAAUACACUUCCUCAUGUUGUGGUGACCCCCAACCAUAACAUUAUUUCAUUGAUACUUAAUAACUGUAAUUUUGUUACUGUUAUGAAUCAGAAUGUAAAUAUCUUGAUAUGCAAGAGCUAUGAUAUGUGACCCCCAGAAGGUUCACGACCCAUGGAUUGAGAACCACUGCUCCAAGUCCACAGAGAAUCUGCAAGCAGACAGGAGAUGACACAGCUUCUUCUGAGAGCUGUGGGUAUUCAAACUUGGCUGAAUGAAGGUAUGAUGGGCAUGCUGUCAAAUGGUGAAUCAAGCAUCAGAUGGGGAUGGCUGGGGAUGGUUUUAGUCACCGGUCUAUCGCUGUGAAGAGACACCAUGACCACAGCAACUCUUAUAAAGGAAAGCAUUUAAUUGGUGCUGGCUUACAGUUUCAUUAUCAUCAUGGCAGCAAGCAGGUAGACAUGGUGCUGGAGAAGGAGCUGAGAAUUCUCUAUCUUGAGUCACAGGCAGCAGAAGAAGGAACUCCACAUUGGGCAUGGCUUGAGACCUCCAAGCUGCCCUCACCCUCGCCCUCACAGUGACACACUUCUCCAACCAGUCCACACCUACUCCAACAAAGCCACACCUUCUAGUAAUACCACUCCCUGUGGGUCAAGCAUUUAGACACAUGAGUCUAUGGGGGCCAUACGUAUUCAAACCACCUCAGCAUGAAACCAUCUGUAUGUUUCUUUCCGUUCCUUACAUGCCCUGGGUUUAUUAGUGGAAUUGGCUGAUGAGAAGUUCCUGCCCUUGUAGGCACAAUUAACAGAAACAUCUUGGGAGGGGAAGCAGAGUUCCUCGCAGCCAUUCAGAUUACAUAUCUGUAUGAGGACUGUCCUAGGAGCGUAUUUGGAGGUGUAGUUUAAAAGUUUUCCUUUCACACAUUCUAUAAAUACUGAUAGGCCUAUGUAGGCCAAGCCAAGCCCUGAGCAAUGCUUGGGACUUUUAAGUCAACCCAGCCCCUACUGGCUGAAGGUACCUGUUUGGUGAGAGAAUAAACCAGUCAACACAUGGUUUUUGAGUGACUGUCAGUUCUGUUUUUAGAGCUGGGCAUCUAUCAGCAAUCAAGACAAAAAACUUCCAAACACGUCUCUGCCUUCAUGGAGUUCACACAACGAGGUCAUGGGUAAUUUAUCAAUCCAGAUUGUUGCCAGUACCAGAGCCCAGAGAGAACAGCAGUGUAGCACAAGGACCAGGGGGUGUCCCUGAGAAAGUGACAUUACCACUGAGGGUUGCAGGGAGACUGGGGAUGGGGAGCAAGAAAAAAAACUAUCUGGAAAAUGAAGCAGUAAACUUGUGAUGGUUGAGAGAUGACCCCUGCCAAAAAACUGAUUGUGAAGUGCAAGAUGGGGGGAGAAGUCUCAGUGCUCAGGAAGUGAGGAUUUAUCCUGAGGGCAGUGAGAGGCCAUCAGAGGAGGAUAGAGACACAAAGACAUGGGACGAGAGAGGGAAGGGUGUGGAUAGAGAAGAGCUGUGCGAAGGGCAGGGUGAGCAUGACUUGGCGUGGCUGGAGAAAGAGGACAGAGAUGAAUUUAUGUUUCUGCAUGAAGAGCUGCAGGCGAUGAUGGUGGAGGGGAGAGAGAAUCUUAUCACCUAGGCGAAGCGUUCUCUAGAGAAGCAGGAGUAGGAGAGAAGAGGAAGUAAAUUUGAGACAUUGUCUUUGCUCAUGUGGCAUCCUUAAAAUGCAGUUUCUUAACUGGGCGGCGGUGGCGCACGCCUUUAAUCCCAGCACUUGGGAGGCAGAGGCAGGCAGAUCUCUGUGAGUUCGUAGCCAGCUGGUCUACAAAGAGAGUUCCAGGACACCCAGGGCUGUCUUCAACAACAACACCUACCCUCAUCCCCGACCCCUGCCAAAAAAAACAGCAGCUUCUUUAAAAUACCACCUUCUCACCUGUCAGGAAAACACCUGCCUGUCCUGUAACACCCAUGAAGCCCUUCCCAGACUCCUCUCAAGAGACGUAAGUCCUGCUCAUCGCUGGACCCAUACCCACAAACUUCCACCACAGCCUUGGAAACUUUGACUAUACUUCUCUGCAUGUGGAUGAAGAAGGUGAUGAUGAUGUUCACUGAAAAUUCUGUCCCAGCUGAUACUGUGUGAGGACCCUUGCACACACAGGCAGCCUCCUUUAAUCCAACAAUGGCUUUUCAGUGUGAGUCAUGUUCCCAUUCUCCCUUCUCAAACAGAGCAAACUGAGGCCAAGGCAGGUCAGGUCAUAAACCUAGUGAAGGUGGUGUUGCUGCUUUGGACAGAGCUACAAUUCAAGGCCCAGGGGUCUGAUUCUGGGGUUUGUGAUCUUAACCACUGCUUACACCCUAACUCCUUUUACUGGGUGGUGGAUCCUUGAAGUUUGGGAUCACUUAUUAUUAAUAAUGCCAUUCCUGUAGGAUAGUCUUUCUGUAUGCUGUGAACAUGUGUUGCUCUCAUUGGUUGGUAAAUAAAGCUGUUUGGCCAAUGGCGAGGCAGAAUAAGGUUAGGCAGUACAUCCAAACUAAAGAUGGAGGUGAAGAAGGGUGGAGUCAGGGCAGCUACCAGGCAGCUGCUGAGGAAGCAGGACGUAUAGAAAAUGAGGUAAUAAGCCAUGAAUCAUGUGGCAAAGCAUAGAUAAGAAAUAUAGGUUAAUUUAAAUAUAAAAGCUAGCUAGUAAUAAGCCUGAGCCAUUGGCCAAACAUUUGUAAUUAAUAUAAUCCUCUGAUUGGUUAUUUGGGAAUUGGUGGGCAGGAGAGAACCAUCCAUUUACAUAUGGAGCUCCAACGUGAUAUACCUACAUCCACAUAAAACCUGAAAUAGCUUAAAGAAAAGAGUUCUAGAACACAUAAAUGGAGCCAGAAACAGCUUCUUAGUUCUGUCUCUCAUGUGGGCUGUGGUACAGAGAUGCUGUGGCAUGUGGGCUUGAGCUCUAGCAUGGCGGGGUCAUGCUAUGGUACACAGAAGCAUCUCCUAGUCACACAGCGCAUUACAUGAUGAAUUUGGCUUUUGCUCAUACAGAGAAAAAGGGUUAAGAAACA